AUUUAGUUACAUGGUUUUCUUCGGUUUACCUUUUAUUUUAUAUAAGACAACAAAAUUAGUGUUUGAGUAUCUGUUUGUAUAUGCUAGCAUUUAUGAUUCAACAUCAUGUUAAAGUGUAUUAAAAUAGGAUAGAUACCACAACAUUCACUGCAAUAUACAUAAAAACUAAAUAAUCUUUGAUACUUGCAGAUAAUGCCUUUGAUUGGAUUGUCAUAAAUCUUUUUCAAUAGUUACUUUGUCAUUUCUUGCAAGUUGAAAAAUGAAGUUUCUCUGAUUGGUAAAGAUUAGGGUUGAUUCGGCUCUAGUUGUGGCUUCUAUGGAAUUGUUCACGAUCAAAUCUGGCUUGUGUUUUUUGUAGAGACUUUGCAAAAGGAAAUGAUGAAGCUGUGUUUGGUUGAGGAUGUGUUUGGUUGUUGUCCAAGGUUAGUGGGCAAAGUAACGCGGUGGGACAAAAGACUCUUGGCUGCUCGGACAGGAUGGGCAUGGAUUGAGAGGGAAGAACUGGUCUCAUUCUUUUUUGGUA